GAUGAGUGGCGAACGGGUGAGUAACACGUGGGAAAUCUGCCUAGGAGUGGGGGAUAACAUUCGGAAACGGAUGCUAAUACCGCAUAUCUUUUUGAACCGCAUGGUUCUUAAACGAAAGACGGCUUCGGCUGUCGCUCUUAGAUGAUCCCGCGGCGUAUUAGUUAGUUGGUGGGGUAAAGGCCUACCAAGACCAUGAUACGUAGCCGACCUGAGAGGGUGAUCGGCCACACUGGGACUGAGACACGGCCCAGACUCCUACGGGAGGCAGCAGUAGGGAAUCUUCCACAAUGGGUGAAAACCUGAUGGAGCAAUGCCGCGUGAAUGAAGAAGGUCUUCGGAUCGUAAAGUUCUGUUAUUAGAGAAGAACAAGUCAAGGAGUAACUGUCUUGACUUUGACGGUAUCUAACCAGAAAGUCACGGCUAACUACGUGUCAGCAGCCGCGGUAAUACGUAGGUGACAAGCGUUGUCCGGAAUUAUUGGGCGUAAAGGGAGCGCAGGCGGUUGGAAUAGUCUGAUGUGAAAGCCCACGGCUUAACCGUGGAAGGUCAUUGGAAACUGUCCAACUUGAAUACAGAAGAGGUAAGUGGAAUUCCAAGUGUAGCGGUGAAAUGCGUAGAUAUUUGGAGGAACACCAGUGGCGAAGGCGACUUACUGGUCUGUAAUUGACGCUGAGGCUCGAAAGCGUGGGUAGCAAACAGGAUUAGAUACCCUGGUAGUCCACGCCGUAAACGAUGAGUGCUAGGUGUUGGAGGGUUUCCGCCCUUCAGUGCCGCAGUUAACGCAUUAAGCACUCCG
rnacentral:rRNA from 1 species